AUUGAACGCUGGCGGCAGGCCUAACACAUGCAAGUCGAACGAGUGGCCGACGGGUGAGUAAUGUCUGGGAAACUGCCCGAUGGCGGGGGAUAACUCCUGGAAACGGUAUCUAAUACCGCAUACCAUCGGAUGUGCCCAGAUGGGAUUAGCUAGUAGGUGGGGUAACGGCUCACCUAGGCGACGAUCCCUAGCUGGUCUGAGAGGAUGACCAGCAACACUGGAACUGAGACACGGUCCAGACUCCUACGGGAGGCAGGAGUGGGGAAUAUUGCAGAAUGGGAGCAAGCCUGAUGCAGCCAUGCCGCGUGUAUGAAGAAGGCCUUCGGGUUGUAAAGUACUUUCAGCGAGGAGGCGUUACUCGCAGAAGAAGCACCGGCUAACUCCGUGCCAGCCGCCGCGGUAAUAC
rnacentral:rRNA from 1 species